ACUCAACGUUAAUUCUUUAAAAAGGGUGAGUUUAAGUUGUAAAAGCAGGCUGCAAUACUAAAUUUAUUUAGUAUUUGGCAGAUCCUUGAUCAGCUUGUUAGCCCUAAACUUGUUUUUAAGGAGUUU
rnacentral:sRNA from 1 species